ensembl:lncRNA
UUCCUGGGUGGAGUUUCACAUUUGAUGCUGACAAGUGGGAACCCGAUAGACGAAGGCAGAAGGCAUCGGGCUGGUAGAAAGGCAGCACCUUUCCUGGGAGCUGCUGGACUUCAGUCUGGGUGUUUCUGCAGGAAACUCCACCCUCUGGUCCUGUCUCUGUGUGUACCAUCACCAGAAGAACACUGGCUUUGCUAUGAAUAACUGAGAGUUCUUUCAACUGCAGUAGGCUCAAGACCAAUUAAUGAAAGGCAUGGAAACUUCAGUAACCUG